rnacentral:rRNA from 2 species
UGAUCAUGGCUCAGGACGAACGCUGCCGGCGUGCCUAAUACAUGCAAGUCGAGCGGACAGAAGGGAGCUUGCUCCCGGAAGUCAGCGGCGGACGGGUGAGUAACACGUAGGUAACCUGCCCCUUAGACUGGGAUAACUCCGGGAAACCGGAGCUAAUACGGGAUAAUAAAGAGAAUCACCUGAUUCUCUUUUGAAAGACGGUUUCGGCUGUCACUAAGGGAUGGGCCUGCGGCGCAUUAGCUAGUUGGUAAGGUAACGGCUUACCAAGGCGACGAUGCGUAGCCGACCUGAGAGGGUGAUCGGCCACACUGGGACUGAGACACGGCCCAGACUCCUACGGGAGGCAGCAGUAGGGAAUCUUCCGCAAUGGACGAAAGUCUGACGGAGCAACGCCGCGUGAGUGAGGAAGGCCUUCGGGUCGUAAAGCUCUGUUGUGAGGGAAGAACAAGUACCGGCGUAACUACCGGUACCUUGACGGUACCUCACCAGAAAGCCACGGCUAACUACGUGCCAGCAGCCGCGGUAAUACGUAGGUGGCAAGCGUUGUCCGGAAUUA